rnacentral:rRNA from 1 species
UGGGGAAUCUUGCGCAAUGCGCGAAAGCGUGACGCAGCAACGCCGCGUGGGGGAAGACGGCUUUCGGGUUGUAAACCCCUUUCAGUUGGGACGAAGCCUUGUCCGUUAAUAGCGGUGCGAGGUGACGGUACCUUCACAAGAAGCUCCGGCUAACUACGUGCCAGCAGCCGCGGUAAUACGUAGGGAGCAAGCGUUGUCCGGAAUCAUUGGGCGUAAAGAGCGUGUAGGCGGUUCGGUAAGUCCGCUGUGAAAGUCAAGGGCUCAACCCUUGAAUGCCGGUGGAUACUGCCGAACUAGAGUCCGGAAGAGGCGAGUGGAAUUCCUGGUGUAGCGGUGAAAUGCGCAGAUAUCAGGAGGAACACCGAUGGCGAAGGCAGCUCGCUGGGACGGUACUGACGCUGAGACGCGAAAGCGUGGGGAGCAAACAG